rnacentral:tRNA from 4 species
GCGCCCGUAGCUCAGCUGGAUAGAGUAUCUGAUUACGGAUCAGAGGGUCAGGGGUUCGAAUCCUCUCGGGCGCGCCA